rnacentral:lncRNA from 1 species
GCAUGCCACGCCGGCCCCCGCCGGUCCCGCUGCCGCAUUAACUCCUGCGUGUCCGGAGCCCCCGCCGCCUGACGCGCGCGGCCCAGAGGAGGGAGUUGGGUGGGGCCGAUGCUGGAGCCUGAGCUCUCCUUGUCGUUGGACCCCGGCUUGGCUGAGACAGCGAGGAGGGGGCCCUGCGCCCGAGCUGAGAGGCGGACUGGGCGACUCUGCUCAUUCUCCUUCUGACCGUCUUGCAGAGGCCAGGAGGACAGGAGGGAAAUGCGGCCGCUGUUAGCGGAUCGCUAGGACUCGUGGGCACCAGCGUGUAUCCGAGACCACAUUUUUGCUUGGCGGUGCUAUCCUCGAAAGUUUACAGUGGACUAGGGAAGGUGCGGGUGGGUUCGGGUUAGAAUUUGUCCACGGACACAAGCCCCUGUCACCCCAGUGAAUGGAGUGGAAUAGCCCCUGGGUUCUCGUGCCUCUCCAGCAUUCUGGAAGAGCCCGUCCUGUGCUGGGUAAAGAUCGGUCUCUCCAGACUGAGGGACGGAGGUGCAGAGUGUGUGAGGAAGCAGCUCAUCUACAGGCAGUUUGAGGCCUCUGGCUGCUCUAGAGCAGGAGCUCCCAGGAUCCACAGAUACCCCCGGAACACACAGAACCAGAAAGGCAGGGGGACCUACACUGCAGAGACAGAGCUGUGUGGAACGGCAGGGAGUCCCCAAAUUUAUCUUGGAUUAUAUCCUGGAGGAGGCAUUGCGGGAAGCGUUCCGGGUGCCUUCUGACCAGCUCCUGGAGCGGUUCGAGUACAGCAGUUCUGAGGAGCACACGUGGAGGGCACCGCUAUGAACCGUGGAGAAGCCUCAGCCCCUUCCUGGAAGCCUUCUCCCGUCACACCCGACUCUACUUCUGCUCCGUUUUCCAUCUGUAGGAAUAGGUGUGCUUUGCACUACUUCAUGCCUAUUUUAGAUCUGUGGCUUCUUGCCUGAAAGCAUACUUUUCUAGGUAUUAAAUGAGUAACUCUCCCAGGGAGACGUAUCAUUCAUUAGGACAUUUUUGGAGUACCAGGGGCGGACCUUUCCCACGGCAGGCUUCCCCUCGUCUCUCCCUGCACGGCACACAGCCCUCCCCUGCGUGCCCUCGUCCCUCCCAGGCCCGAGCCUCUGGAUGAGGGUCCCCACCUAGGAGCGCCCAGGGCAAGGGUGAGUGAGCCACGGCCAGAAUCACAC